UUGCGUUGGCCGCACAUAUACUAACAUUGGAAUGAUACAGAGAAGAUUAGCAUGGCACCUGCAUGAGGAUGGCAUGAAAAUUCAUUAAACACUUCACAUUUAA